rnacentral:rRNA from 1 species
GAUGAACGCUGGCGGCGUGCCUAAUACAUGCAAGUCGAGCGAACAGACGAGGAGCUUGCUCCUCUGACGUUAGCGGCGGACGGGUGAGUAACACGUGGAUAACCUACCUAUAAGACUGGGAUAACUUCGGGAAACCGGAGCUAAUACCGGAUAAUAUAUUGAACCGCAUGGUUCAAUAGUGAAAGACGGUUUUGCUGUCACUUAUAGAAGGAUCCGCGCCGCAUUAGCUAGUUGGUAAGGUAACGGCUUACCAAGGCAACGAUGCGUAGCCGACCUGAGAGGGUGAUCGGACACACUGGAACUGAGACACGGUCCAGACUCCUACGGGAGGCAGCAGUAGGGAAUCUUCCGCAAUGGGCGAAAGCUUGACGGAGCAACGCCGCGUGAGUGAUGAAGGUCUUCGGAUCGUAAAACUCUGUUAUUAGGGAAGAACAAAUGUGUAAGUAACUAUGCACGUCUUGACGGUACCUAAUCAGAAAGCCACGGCUAACUACGUG